GACGAACGCUGGCGGCGUGCCUAAUACAUGCAAGUCGAACGCUUCUUUCCUCCCGAGUGCUUGCACUCAAUUGGAAAGAGGAGUGGCGGACGGGUGAGUAGCACGUGGGUAACCUACCCAUCAGAGGGGGAUAACACUUGGAAACAGGUGCUAAUACCGCAUAACAGUUUAUGCCGCAUGUCAUAAGAGUGAAAGGCGCUUUCGGGUGUCGCUGAUGGAUGGACCCGCGGUGCAUUAGCUAGUUGGUGAGGUAACGGCUCACCAAGGCCACGAUGCAUAGCCGACCUGAGAGGGUGAUCGGCCACACUGGGACUGAGACACGGCCCAGACUCCUACGGGAGGCAGCAGUAGGGAAUCUUCGGCAAUGGACGGAAGUCUGACCGAGCAACGCCGCGUGAGUGAAGAAGGUUUUCGGAUCGUAAAACUCUGUUGUUAGAGAAGAACAAGGACGUUAGUAACUGAACGUCCCCUGACGGUAUCUAACCAGAAAGCCACGGCUAACUACGUGCCAGCAGCCGCCGCGG
rnacentral:rRNA from 1 species